AUGGAAGCCGCGGUGGUGAGCGUGUCACACGGAGCCAUAGGCUCCCUUCUUGGGAAGCUCGGCGAUUUGCUCGCCGGCGAAUACAAGCUGCUCAAAGAAGCAAAGGGCGAGAUCAUGUUCCUUAAAGCUGAGCUCGAGAGCAUGCGUGUGUUCCUAGAGAGGAUGUCGGACGCGGAGGAGGAGGAGGCUGACAAACAAGAAAAGUGCUGGGCCGAGGAGGUCCGUGAUCUGUCUUACGACAUCGAGGACAACAUCGACGACUUCAUGCUCCGAGUGAAAUGCGAGUCCGACAGCAAGCCACAUGGCUUCAAGGGGUUCAUCGAAAGGAGCAUGAACUUGCUGACGACAGUCAACACUCGGCAUAAGAUCGGCAAGGAGUUGCAAGGUCUCAAGAGACGUGUCAUGGAGGUGAGCGAGAGGCGCAUGAGGUACAAGAUUGACAGCGCCGUCUCAAAACCAAACAGCACAUCCAUAGAUAUACGCCUGCUGGCACUCUAUGCGGACACAGCUGGCCUCGUGGGUAUCAAUGAACCGAUGGACGAAUUGAUUGAGGUGAUGCUGGAUGGAGAUGAUGUCUGUGCUCAGCAGCAGCUUAAGGUGCUCUCUGUUGUGGGAUUUGGAGGCCUUGGUAAGACCACACUUGCAAAUGCGAUAUAUCGAAAACUAGAGGGGCAGUUCCAGUGCCAGGCUUUUGUUUCUGUGUCCCAAAAACCGAACAUACGGAAGAUUCUUAGAAACAUACUCUCUCAAGCUGGCUAUGUGGUCCUGGAUCAAACUAAUUUGGAAUCAUGGGAUGAGGAUCAGCUGAUCAGGACACUUCGAAGAUUUCUUGCAGACAAGAGGUACUUUAUUGUAAUCGACGACAUAUGGGAUGCAACCACGUGGAGUAUUGUUAGAUGUGCUCUGCCAGAAAACAGCAAUGGCAGCAGAGUAAUAACAACUACACGAAUCGAGACUGUGGCUACAGCAUGCUGCUCCAAUAGCUAUGAUUAUCUUUAUAAGAUGAAAUUACUUAGCAAUGAAGAGUCAAGAAAGUUAUUUCUCAGAAGGGUUUUUGGUUCAGAGGAUGGUUGUCCUACGUAUUUGGAAGACGUUUCCGCUGAAAUUCUAAAAAGAUGUGGUGGCUUGCCACUUGCAAUUAUCAGUAUAUCCAGCCUAUUAGCUAGUCAACCAAAGAUGCUGAAGGGGCAAUGGGAGGACAUAUUGAAUUCUUUGAGCUCCAACUUUGAAGUGCAUCCCACCUUGGAAGGAAUGAGAAAAAUACUAAACCUUAGCUACACAAAUCUUCCUCAUUAUUUGAAGACAUGUAUGCUGUAUUUGGGUAUAUAUCCAGAGGGUUAUACAAUCAACAAGAAUGAUUUGGUCAGGCAAUGA
rnacentral:rRNA from 1 species